UGUACACACCGCCCGUCGCUACUACUGAUUGAAUGGCUUAGUGAGGCCUCCGGACCGCACCUGCAGAGCGGGCACGGGUUUGGGAAGCUGGUCAAACUUGGUCAUUUAGAGGAAGUAAAAGUCGUAACAAGGUUUCCAUAGGUGAACCUGCGGAAGGAUCAUUA
rnacentral:rRNA from 1 species